GAUGAACGCUGGCGGCGUGCUUAACACAUGCAAGUCGAACGGGAUCCAAGGGGUGCUUGCACUUUUUGGUGAGAGUGGCGAACGGGUGAGUAACACGUGAGUAACCUGUCCUUUUCUUUGGGAUAAGCAUUCGAAAGGGUGUUUAAUACCUUAUGUUCUGUCUGCCUCGCAUGGGGUGGGUGGGAAAGGCUUUGGCCGGAUUUGGGUGGGCUCGCGGUCUAUCAGCUUGUUGGUGGGGUGAUGGCUUACCAAGGCUUUGACGGGUAGCCGGCCUGAGAGGGUGGUCGGUCACAUUGGGACUGAGAUACGGCCCAGACUCCUGCGGGAGGCAGCAGUGGGGGAUAUGGCACAAUGGGCGAAAGCCUGAUGCAGCGACGCCGCGUGGGGGAUGAAGGCCUUCGGGUUGUAAACUUCUUUUGCUCUGAACAAGGCAUGCCAGUGGGUGUGUUGAGUGUAGGGGUUGAUUAGCGCCGGCUAACUACGUG
rnacentral:rRNA from 1 species